rnacentral:rRNA from 1 species
UACGGAGGGUGCAAGCGUUAUCCGGAUUCACUGGGUUUAAAGGGUGCGUAGGCGGGCUGUUAAGUCAGUGGUGAAAUCUCCGGGCUCAACCCGGAAACUGCCGUUGAUACUAAUGGUCUUGAAUACCGUUGAGGUGAGCGGAAUAUGUCAUGUAGCGGUGAAAUGCUUAGAUAUGACAUAGAACACCGAUUGCGAAGGCAGCUCACUAAGCGGUGAUUGACGCUGAGGCACGAAAGCGUGGGGAUCAAACAGG